rnacentral:rRNA from 1 species
GAUGAACGCUAGCUACAGGCUUAACACAUGCAAGUCGAGGGGCAGCAUGAGGAUAGCUUGCUAUUGUUGAUGGCGACCGGCGCACGGGUGAGUAACGCGUAUCCAACCUGCCCUUGUCCACCGGAUAACCCGUCGAAAGGCGGACUAACACGGUAUGCAGUCCACAGCAGACAUCUAACGUGGACGAAAUGGGAAGGAGAAGGAUGGGGAUGCGGCUGAUUAGCUUGUUGGCGGGGUAACGGCCCACCAAGGCGACGAUCAGUAGGGGUUCUGAGAGGAAGGUCCCCCACAUUGGAACUGAGACACGGUCCAAACUCCUACGGGAGGCAGCAGUGAGGAAUAUUGGUCAAUGGGCGAGAGCCUGAACCAGCCAAGUAGCGUGCAGGAAGACGGCCCUAUGGGUUGUAAACUGCUUUUAUACGGGGAUAAAGUGAGUCACGUGUGGCUUAUUGCAGGUACCGUAUGAAUAAGGACCGGCUAAUUCCGUGCCAGCCGCCGCCGUAAGAC